UAGCUCAGUUGGUAGAGCAUGGUGUUUGCAACGCCAAGGGUUGUGGGUUCGAUUCCCAC
rfam:Salmo salar isolate Sally breed double haploid chromosome ssa13, whole genome shotgun sequence.